rnacentral:lncRNA from 1 species
GCUGCCGAGCUGCAGGAAGCAAGCGCAGCCGGCCUUGUGCGGCGCCCGCCCUGCACCGGGGACGCGGGGGGCUCAGACAUUUGCGGGCAGGGGAGCAGCGGGAGCCUUGUGAAUUCCGUCUCCGAAGGGCGGCGCGAAAGCUCAGAAUUAAAACAAUUCACAGUGCUUGAACCGGGCCUCCGGUGCCUUUAUGGUCUCAGCCGAUUCUGAGGAGCUCAUUUGAGUUGCUGGAUGAAUUUUUCAGAAAUUCGCUAACACUUUUAAGCCUACUUGACUUCUUUGAACGAUUGCUCUGCGAGACACUGCGUUAGAUCCACAGCGUCAGGAACCCUCUGCUUGCUCUAAGUAUCACAUGCCUGGUUUCCCAACAUGUACCGCAGUUCUCAUUUUAGAGUUUUGACAGCACAUUUCAUAAUAUCUAUCUCCUCAACUAAGGAAUGAAAGGUCACUGAAAGAAACGAGCGAUUUCCAUGAAACUCUGGUGGGUGCUCUGGACAGUGACACUAUGACUAAUCUACUCUCCUUCCUGAAGUCGGUGACCAGGGUAAAGUCCUGUCUCCAGCUUCAAAAAAUCACAUGGAAAAAAAAAUCCCUAAUCCUUAGAUCUAAAUUGAUGACAACAGAAUGGUGCAACUUGAAUGCAAGAUUUUAAAAAUCACAUUUCUAAAUUUCCAGCUGCGUUUCACUGUCAUCUAAUAACACCUUGUUCACCAUCUUCCCUGGAGUAGAAUGAUGAGAAUCUAAGAGACACUUGCGCCCUGAAAGAGCACAAUUUUGGAUUCUUCCACAGCUUGCUGCAGGAAACUACAAACUACCAGAUGUCGCUAAGUAUUUGUUAACUGAAAAGGAGAGGAUUCAGACAUUUACCGAAGCAUCCCUGUCAAAAUAAAUGUCACUAUUCAACCGGUUGACACAUCUCCCGUGGAUGACGUGGUUGUUAUGAAACUUGACCUCCUUUGUGGAGUUUGAACGAAGGAGAAGAUGAAAACACUGUCAUCUUUCCAAAAAAUGACCAUUGACUCCUCCUCCUCGAGGCAUUUUAACCGUUCUCUAAACAUGUAACUAAAAGAUAUGAGAAAAAAUAAAGAUUAUGGUUUCUAAAAUAACCAUACCGUUCACUAUGUCUGUUCUAUUAACUGUGACAAGUAUCUAAUGAUCCACAAAUAUUUCUUUAAAAUAGCUUCUAUAUUUUCACUUUUAUUUGAGACCAAUCAAUCCAUCCCUAAAGAACUGAAGCAGAAGCAGGUUUUAUUGGACAGGAUGACUCUAUGUCCUACAAUCCUCAAUCCUGCAAAAAUUCAGAAACCAUCAACAGAGGGUGGAUAUGGGUACUCUGAACAUAGUAUGCUGGUGCCUCUGACUGCAUCCCUGCUGGGCAUUGCUUUUAACUGGUCGAUCACAUUUGGCACAUUAUAGGUACAAUAUGAUGC